rnacentral:rRNA from 1 species
AACGAACGCUGGCGGCGUGGAUAAGACAUGCAAGUCGAACGGGACAGGUAGCAAUAUCUGUCUAGUGGCGAACGGGUGCGUAACACGUGGGCAACAUGCCUGGAAGAGCGGGAUAGCCCGGGGAAACUCGGAUUAAUACCGCAUGUGACAACGGGGCGGCUUCGCCCUGUUUUCAAAGGUGGGGACCGCAAGGCCUGCCGCUUCCAGAUUGGCCCGCGUCCUAUCAGCUAGUUGGCGGGGUAACGGCCCACCAAGGCGACGACGGGUAGCUGGUCUGAGAGGACGACCAGCCACACUGGAACUGAGACACGGUCCAGACACCUACGGGUGGCAGCAGUCGAGAAUCUUUCACAAUGGGGGAAACCCUGAUGGAGCGACGCCGCGUGGAGGAUGACGGUCUUCGGAUUGUAAACUCCUGUCAUGAAAGAACAAGCGAUGCGGGUGAACAGCCUGCAAAGUUGAUAGUAUUUCAAGAGGAAGGGACGGCUAACUUCGUGCCAGCCGCCGCGGUAAAAC